rnacentral:misc_RNA from 1 species
CCUUAAAGAACCUGUCUUUGUAGUGCUCACACAGAUUGUUUGAUAAAUAAUAAAUUUCAAAAUGUACUGCGAAGUGCAUUGUGAAAUUUUGCUCUUUAAAAAUCUGGAUCAAGCUGAAAAUUGAAACGACACACAGUCAAUGUGUGUUCGAGUCUCUCAAAUUUUCGCAAUCAGAAGUGAAACAUCCUCGGGUUGUGA